CCUUCCAGCAGUUUCCUGUAGGUGGCGAUCUCUAUGUCCAGAGCCAGCUUCAAAUUCAUCAGUUCCUGGUAUUGGCGGACUUGCAGGGCCAUAUCCUGCUUGGCUCUCUGGAGAGCUUCCUCCAGGUCUCUGAUGCGGAGUUUAGCAUCCUUCACUGCCAGCUCACCACGCUCCUCAGCCUCUGCAAUUUGAGCUUCCAAACUGUUUCGCUAAGAGUAGAGGGGGAAGAGUAGCACAAAAAAUCAAAAGUCUUUACUGGAGCCUCAAUAUCUUGCGGUUCAUGUCAGCGAUCUCAGCCUUGGAUGACUUCAGGUCGUCACCAUAUCUGCCUGCUGACUGCUGCAUUUCUUCAUACUGGAACAGACAAGGACAACUCAGGCUGACUUCAAAAUGCAACAGAUAAUCUAGAUACGUUUUAGUUGUCUACAACAAAUCUGGUGUCAUACAAGUUUUUUUUGGCAAGGUCAAGAGAAUAUACUUCACCCCACAUAUAACUGGUGAAAAUCAUGUACCGUGCAGCUGAGAACAGGAGGGCUUGGUACACUCAGUGUUAAAUGUACAAUGACAGGAAGUCAGCUGGAGAGACUCUCCUCACUGAUGAUGGAGUGCAGGUUGAAGGCUUCAACUUCAGAUCACACGAAGAGUGGUCUCACCUUAGUCUGGUACCAUGACUCAGCCUCGGCUCUGCUACGGUUGGCGAUGUCUUCAUACUGGGCACGCACUUCAGCGACGAUGGCGUCCAUGUCUAGGUUACGGCUGUUGUCCAUCUCCACCACAACGGAUGUGUCCUUGAUCUGACCCUGCAGCUCAUGGAUUUCCUACACAGGUAGAAUAAUACAUCAACAUAAGCAAAGAAGAAAUGGACGUGGUAAAACAUCAUUUUAAAAUUUCCCUUUGUUUCAAGAUGACAUUAAUUUGUGUGUGGCUGAAAAGUGAAAUAAAGUUAUUACUGCAUCGAA